GACGAACGCUGGCGGCGUGCUUAACACAUGCAAGUCGAACGAUGAACCUCCUUCGGGAGGGGAUUAGUGGCGAACGGGUGAGUAACACGUGGGCAAUCUGCCCUUCACUCUGGGACAAGCCCUGGAAACGGGGUCUAAUACCGGAUACGACCUGCCGAGGCAUCUUGGAGGGUGGCAAGCUCAGGCGGGGAAGGAUGAGCCCGCGGCCUAUCAGCGUGUUGGUGAGGUAACGGCUCACCAAGGCGACGACGGGUAGCCGGCCUGAGAGGGCGACCGGCCACACUGGGACUGAGACACGGCCCAGACUCCUACGGGAGGCAGCAGUGGGGAAUAUUGCACAAUGGGCGAAAGCCUGAUGCAGCGACGCCGCGUGAGGGAUGACGGCCUUCGGGUUGUAAACCUCUUUCAGCAGGGAAGAAGCGAAAGUGACGGUACCUGCAGAAGAAGCGCCGGCUAACUACGUGCCAGCAGCCGCCGUAACAC
rnacentral:rRNA from 1 species